rnacentral:tRNA from 1 species
UCCUUUAUAGCUCAGUCAGUAAAGAAUCUGCCUGCAAUGCAGGGGACCUGGGUUCGAUUCCUGGAUCAGGAA